rnacentral:rRNA from 1 species
CAGCCGCCGCGGUAAAACGAAGGGUGCAAGCGUUAAUCGGAAUUACUGGGCGUAAAGCGUGCGUAGGCGGUUUGUUAAGUCUGUUGUGAAAUCCCCGGGCUCAACCUGGGAAUGGCAAUGGAUACUGGCAAGCUAGAGUGUGUCAGAGGAUGGUGGAAUUCCCGGUGUAGCGGUGAAAUGCGUAGAGAUCGGGAGGAACACCGAUGGCGAAGGCAGCCCCCUGGGCCAAUACUGACGCUCAUGCACGAAAGCGUGGGGAGCAAACAGGAUUAGAUACCCCAGUAGUCCCUGUCUCUUAUAC